rnacentral:rRNA from 1 species
UACGUAGGGUGCAAGCGUUGUCCGGAAUCAUUGGGCGUAAAGAGCGUGUAGGCGGCUCGGUAAGUCCGCUGUGAAAGUCCAGGGCUCAACCCUGGAAUGCCGGUGGAAACUGUCGAGCUAGAGUCCGGAAGAGGCGAGUGGAAUUCCUGGUGUAGCGGUGAAAUGCGCAGAUAUCAGGAGGAACACCAAUGGCGAAGGCAGCUCGCUGGGACGGUACUGACGCUGAGGUGCGAAAGCGUGGGGAGCAAACAGG